AGAGUUUGAUUAUGGCUCAGGAUUAACGCUAGCGGCAGGCCUAAUACAUGCAAGUCGAACGGGAUUCAAGGUAGCAAUAUUUUGAUGAGAGUGGCGCACGGGUGAGUAACACGUAUGCAAUUUGCCUUUAACUGGGGAAUAGCCCUCCGAAAGGAGGAUUAAUACCGCAUAACAUUUCAGAAUGGCAUCAUUUUGAAAUUAAACCUCCGGGGGUUAAAGAUAAGCAUGCAUCCGAUUAGGUAGUUGGUGUGGUAACGGCACACCAAGCCAACGAUCGGUAGGGGGUCUGAGAGGAUGAUCCCCCACACUGGUACUGAGACACGGACCAGACUCCUACGGGAGGCAGCAGUAAGGAAUAUUGGACAAUGGAGGCAACUCUGAUCCAGCCAUGCCGCGUGAAGGAAUAAGGCCCUAUGGGUUGUAAACUUCUUUUAGACGGGACAAAACCCCUUUACGUGUAAAGGGUUGAUGGUACUGUCAGAAUAAGCAUCGGCUAACUUCGUGCCAGCAGCCGCGGUAAUACGAAGGAUGCAAGCGUUAUCCGGAAUUAUUGGGUUUAAAGGGUGCGUAGGCGGACUGAUAAGUCAGUGGUGAAAGCCUGCAGCUUAACUGCAGAAUUGCCGUUGAUACUGUCAGUCUUGAGUACAGUUGAGGUAGGCGGAAUGUGUCAUGUAGCGGUGAAAUGCUUAGAUAUGACACAGAACACCGAUUGCGAAGGCAGCUUGCUAAGCUGUAACUGACGCUGAGGCACGAAAGCGUGGGGAGCAAACAGGAUUAGAUACCCUGGUAGUCCACGCCCUAAACGAUGAUAACUCGCUGUUGGCGAUACACAGCCAGCGGCCAAGCGAAAGCAUUAAGUUAUCCACCUGGGGAGUACGACCGCAAGGUUGAAACUCAAAUGAAUUGACGG
rnacentral:rRNA from 1 species